GGGAAUAUUGGACAAUGGGGGCAACCCUGAUCCAGCAAUGCCGCGUGUGUGAAGAAGGCCUUCGGGUUGUAAAGCACUUUAGGCGGGGAAGAAGAUGUGUAUUUUAAGAGAUAGCACAUUUGACGGUACCCGCAGAAUAAGCACCGGCUAACUCUGUGCCAGCAGCCGCGGUAAUACAGAGGGUGCAAGCGUUAAUCGGAUUUACUGGGCGUAAAGGGCGCGUAGGUGGUUAUUUAAGUGAGAUGUGAAAUCCCCGGGCUUAACCUGGGAACUGCAUCUUAUACUGGGUAACUGGAGUGCAGUAGAGGGUAGUGGAAUUUCCGGUGUAGCGGUGAAAUGCGUAGAUAUCGGAAGGAACACCAGUGGCGAAGGCGGCUACCUGGACUGAGACUGACACUGAGGCGCGAGAGCGUGGGGAGCAAACA
rnacentral:rRNA from 1 species